rnacentral:rRNA from 1 species
CGGGUCGUAAAACUCUGUCCUCAAGGAAGAUAAUGACGGUACUUGAGGAGGAAGCCCCGGCUAACUACGUGCCAGCAGCCGCGGUAAUACGUAGGGGGCUAGCGUUAUCCGGAUUUACUGGGCGUAAAGGGUGCGUAGGCGGUCUUUCAAGUCAGGAGUGAAAGGCUACGGCUCAACCGUAGUAAGCUCUUGAAACUGGGAGACUUGAGUGCAGGAGAGGAGAGUGGAAUUCCUAGUGUAGCGGUGAAAUGCGUAGAUAUUAGGAGGAACACCAGUUGCGAAGGCGGCUCUCUGGACUGUAACUGACGCUGAGGCACGAAAGCGUGGGGAGCAAACAGGAUUAGAUACCCUGGUAGUCCACGCUGUAAACGAUGAGUACUAGGUGUCGGGGGUUACCCCCUUCGGUGCCGCAGCUAACGCAUUAAGUAC